CUGUUGAAGCGGAAAUCUGUUGGCAUUUGCUGGAACCUGAGACACAGCAAACAGGAGGACUUUUGUCUUUGCUCUUGGAAUGGAAACCUUGGAUCAAUACCCUUCAACCGUAUGCCGCUCCUCCUGACCCUUUUCAUGUCACCCUAAAUUAUACACGACAACCUGAUUUCGUGUGUGAUGAUGCUUUUGUUGAGCAGGCUGAGGGAGUGCAUUGGCACAUCACUUCCCCAGGUUUGCUCA